GACGAACGCUGGCGGCGUGCUUAACACAUGCAAGUCGAACGGAAAGGCCCUGCUUUUGUGGGGUGCUCGAGUGGCGAACGGGUGAGUAGCACGUGAGUAACCUGCCCUUGACUUUGGGAUAACUUCAGGAAACUGGGGCUAAUACCGGAUAGGAGCUCCUGCUGCAUGGUGGGGGUUGGAAAGUUUCGGCGGUUGUGGAUGGACGCGCGGCUUAUCCGCUUGUUGUUGGGGUAGUGGCUUACCAAGGCUUUGACGGGUAGCCGACCUGAGAGGGUUACCGGCCACAAUGGGAAUGAGAUACGACCAAGACUGCAACGGGAGGCAGGAGGGGGGAGUAUUGCAGAAAAAGCGGAAGACAGAGGCAACAACGCCGCGUGCGGGAUGACGGGCUUCGGGUGGUAAACCGAUGUCGACUGUAACGAAGAGUGAGUGACGGUAAUGGGUAAAGAAGCACCGGCUAACUACGUG
rnacentral:rRNA from 1 species